AGCAGUAGCCGCGGUAAUACGUAGGUGGCAAGCGUUGUCCGGAAUUAUUGGGCGUGAAGGGCUCGCAGGCGGUUUCUUAAGUCUGAUGUGAAAGCCCCCGGCUCAACCGGGGAGGGUCAUUGGAAACUGGGAAACUUGAGUGCAGAAGAGGAGAGUGGAAUUCCACGUGUAGCGGUGAAAUGCGUAGAGAUGUGGAGGAACACCAGUGGCGAAGGCGACUCUCUGGUCUGUAACUGACGCUGAGGAGCGAAAGCGUGGGGAGCGAACAGGAUUAGAUACCCGUGAGUCCCUGUCUCUUAUACC
rnacentral:rRNA from 1 species